rnacentral:rRNA from 1 species
UACGUAGGGUGCAAGCGUUGUCCGGAAUUAUUGGGCGUAAAGAGCUCGUAGGCGGUUUGUCACGUCGGCUGUGAAAACCCGGGGCUCAACCCCGGGCCUGCAGUCGAUACGGGCAAACUAGAGUUCGGCAGGGGAGACUGGAAUUCCUGGUGUAGCGGUGAAAUGCGCAGAUAUCAGGAGGAACACCGGUGGCGAAGGCGGGUCUCUGGGCCGAUACUGACGCUGAGGAGCGAAAGCGUGGGGAGCGAACAGG